rnacentral:lncRNA from 1 species
GGAAGGGUUAGAAUUGAGUUCUAAAAGAGUUAGAAUAGUUUUAGCAUUGCUCGGUACGAAUCGGAGUUGAAGUGGUGCAAAACUGAAAUUCUGGAAUAUGUGUUACCGGUUUAACACCAGGGGUGUACUGGUAUAGUAUGGUUGUAACGAAGUGAAUUCUCGAGAGCCGAGAGUUGGACUUUGUCUGGGAUCGGCUAGUUAUCGAGUGGGUAUGUAAUAUACCGAAAUUUCGAUAACCAAG